rnacentral:tRNA from 1 species
GCCUGUAGCUCAGUUGGUUAGAGCAUCUGCCUCUUAAGCAGAGUGUCGUGGGGGAGAAAUGCCAGUAGCA